ensembl:lncRNA
AGGACGUUCUCCUCAGAGAGUUCCACCGCGGUGCUGUCGAGUCCUUGAUUCCGAUCCGUCAGAGACGUGUUGAUUCAUUUUUCCAGAACAAAAGCCGCAAACACACACGUCGUAUUACGCCGUCGUUUCUAUAGCAACACCGGGUCGCAUUUACGUGAUGCCGAGAGCCGUCUUUUCACACCGAGGACGACCGAGAGACCCGUACACGACCGUUACAAAAGGUGCAAACGUUCACCGAUGCUCUAUACAUUAAGAGACGUGAGGGGGGGUGUAAACUUUUGAACAGGAUGAUCCGUGUGUAAAUUGUUAUUAUUUUGUUUAACGAUGCUGUUCUUUUCAUUUAGUACCGCCCUUCGGAAGCUACAUUUCCAGAAGACGAAACUGUAAUCAUUUACACACGAUCGUCCUGCUCAGAAGUUUACACCCCCCUGCGCUCUUAAUGUAUCGUGCCGCCUUCUCGAGCAUAGAGCCCUUUCCAGCAUAUGAUGCUGGGAUCCGUCUUUCACACCGAGGACGACCGAGAGACUCGUACACGACUAUUACAAAAGGCGCGAACGUUCACCGACGCUCACGAAGGCGACGCGAUACGUUAAGAGCACGGGGGGGUGUAAACUUUUGAACAGGAUGAUCGUGUGUAAAUGAUGAUAAACCAUUUCUUCUGGCUUCCGAAGGGCGGUACUAAAUGAAAAAGUACGAUCGUUAAACAAAAUAAUAACAAUUUACACACAGAUCAUCCUGCUCAAAAGUUUACACCCCCCCCCCCCUCACGUCUCUUAAUGUAUAGAGCAUCGGUGAACGUUUGCACCUUUUGUAACGGUCGUGUACGGGUCUCUCGGUCGUCCUCGGUGUGAAAAGACGGCUCUCGGCAUCACGUAAAUGCGACCCGGGUGUUGCUAUAGAAACGACGGCGUAAUACGACGUGUGUAUUUGCGGCUUUUGUUCUGGAAAAAUCAAUCAUCUUAGGACAUCUUAUUAUCGUUAUUAUUUUAUUACUUUCAUACAUUUUAGCUCCUGAGUGUGCUACAGUGGGUUUUUUAAAAAAAAAAAAAGUCAAUUUGCUGAAAGACUUUGAUGAAACCUGGACUAAGAUAAAGAGGAUUAAAAUGAUCAAGCCCCGGACGUCUUAACGUCGCAGAUUAGGGUUUGAACAUCCGUAAAACUUAGUCUGAAAUCCUCUCCUGAUGUGGGUGUGCCAACGGACGCAACCACAACAUGAAGGAAUUUUGUCCCCGGGAUUCUGAGUAGCUUAAUCGAGCCCAGAGAGUGGGUGUGUUUGCAUGUCAACACUCACACACGCACACACACACACAGCAUUGGAGUCAUUAGUGGGAGUGUGUGGGCUACCACUGCGAAGUGUGGAAGCUCUUACGUUAAUGUCUCGUUUUAUCAAAGCGCUCUCAGCCAGGCCACACUCACUCUGCCAGCACUCUUUUACUCUUUCUCGCUCCAUUCAUCUGUCACUCCUCUGUGCUAUUAGCUAGAAGUCUUUCCCACCGUCUCUCUCUCGUUAUCUCUCUCACACACCUGUCUGUCUUUCCCAGCCACAGCUGCGCGUCUCUCCAGGUGACAGGUGCUGUAACCGAGCCUGAGAGCAAACCCCAUCCGCUAAUCUGUUAACGGCCCGGCUCGGCCCGCCGCGCCGUUACUAUCCACAUGCUAAUCUCUUAAUUUUGCUCAUUAGACUUUAUUUACAUUCCUCGUCCAACUGCCCGGGUUUAGUCACGCCGCCGUUAGUGCGUGUCCAAUCCCGCAGCAGAUGAUGAAGUGCUUCAGCUGGAGGUUCUCGAGGCUUUAACAAAAGGACAGGACUUCACGCUUGGCGGUUUUUGUGCAAUAGGACAGGCAGCAUUUUUCAGUGUAAUUAACUGAGAGAGAGCGAGAGAGGCAGAGAGAGAGAGAGAGAGAGAGAGAGAGAGAGAGAGAGACAAAGACAGGGAGGCAGAGAGAGAGUGAGAGGAGAGAAAGGAAUAAAGAAUGAGAGAGAGAGAGAAAGAGAGACAGAGAGAGAGGCAGAGAGAGAGGGGGGAGAAAGGAAUAAAGAGUGAGAGAGAAUGAGAGAGAGAAAGAGAGAGAGGGCAGAGAAGAGAGAGAGGGCAGAAAGGAAUAAAAGAAUGAGAGAGAAUGGGAGAGAGAGAGAGAGAGAGAG